UAUUUUAGUCUUGUUAGAGGAACCUGUUUUAUAAUCGAUAAACCACGUGUAUUUCACUUAUUUUAAAUAACUUGUAUACCGUCAUUAUUAGAUAACUUUCAAAAAAUUAGUUAUUAAAAUUAAAUUAAAUUAAAUAUAUUAGAUCAAGGUGCAGUUAAUAAAUAAGGAAAAAUGGGUUACAAUAAAAUUUAUUUAAAACGAAUUAUAUAAAUGUAAAAAUAUAUGAAGGAGGAUUUAAUUGUAAUUUUUUUUUAUAAAAUAAUAAUAUGAUAAUAGCUCUAAAAUAU
rnacentral:rRNA from 1 species